GAGAAAUCAGGAGAAUAGCUGCUCUUAUUGAGAGAGACCAAGAGCUCAUCACUUACAUCAAGCACAAGUUUACCAUUAACUUCAAAAAAGAGCACAGCUACUUACCUGAGAAGGUUGUCACCCGCAGUGACACAAAGUAUGUCCUCGUACAAAAUGGCCAGGCCAAGAAGAACUAUGACAGGAGACAGGAGAUGCUCAAAAAAGGCUUUUUCUCCCCUCUUAACAAACCAUACAAAACAGUGGGAAUGCUUUACUCUGACAACAUUGAUCUCUUCUCAACCUGGUUAACAUCAGAGGAUCAGGAGUCACUGAAG